GAAGCCAGGCCAAGAAGAAUCCCAGGACUGGAAGGCCUUGUGGGACGUCCCAGGUUUGUCUUGUGUCAAUAGCACUGAUACUCAAUCUCCUACUCCCAUCUGUGAGCAUGCAGACCCUACUUGCCUUCCCACAGCCUCCCUUUUCAUAUUUUUCAUGUUUCUUUAGCUCUGUCUUCAAGCCUUGUUGCUCCCGCAAAAAAACCUGCCUCUUCCUCCAGUCCUCCCAAGCAGGGGGAACAGUCCUGACACCUUUCCAAGCCCUGGUCCAUGGACAUUGUGCCCCCUUCUCCCUGCCCAUGGUGACCUGCUCCAAAACCCUCAAGGAGAAGGGAGUGUAUGUCAUUUCCUCCCUGUAAAGUAAAGAUAAUUUUGCAGGGGACUGUGUGGAUGAAAUGACAUGAUGCAUGGAAAUCCCUUAGCGUGUGCCUGGCAUGUAAACUGCAGGUGUCAUCAUUAUUACUGAGGAAUACUGAGUCCCGAACAUGGCUGUCUCAUUGGUGGACUGGGGUCUCCCCCAGGGCAUUCAUCUACUAUGUGUUUAUUGCACCCUUUUUCCAUGUGAGGCACAUGCCAGGGACUGGGCACAUGGUAUGAACAAGACACAGGUCAUCGGUGUCCUCUUGAGCUCCCUGGCUUGGCAGCAGAUGCAUACCUGGGAAGGAUGCUAGGUCAUCCGGGAACUCUACCUCCUUCAAAUCCCUAAGGACUGUGCUCCCAAUCCGCUUACGCUCAAGGAAGAACUGAUGAGGAAAUGGAGGCACAGACUGAUUAGAAAACCAGCUCAAGGUCAUGUUGCUGGGCUCUCUGGUGGAGCCUCUGUCUCACAGGUCACCUGCAGGCCAACACUCCCAGAAGCAGCUAGCACCAUGGUUGACCUCGUCCAGGUCCAGGGAAGGCCUCCCUCUCCAGGACUCCUUUAGAUUUCCCCAGCAUCCAGACCUCACCUGCCUAAGUGCUGUUGCCCUGGAAGCCACAGUGAGCACGAGCUCCAUCUUGCACCUUUACCAGCCAAUGGGGGUAAAGACAUUAGCUGGGAAGCCUGAGACCACAGCUACUGCCUCGAAUCAGAAGCCCCAGCCUCAUCAUCUGGGGCCAGAGAACUAGGGCAGGAGGAGCCAAGUAGCACAGCAGGAAGCAUGAGUCCCUCCGAGGAGAAGCUGGUCUCUGAGAGGAGCACAGAAUGCAGCAGGCUGGAUAAGCCCCCUGCUGAAAUCAUGGGGUAAAAAAGAGACACAGGGGGAAUGGAGGAGCCAGAGAGAAAGCAGUGUGAUCACAGGCACACAGGACAGCAGCUCACCUUCCCAUCCUUGCUGGCUUUUGCACCCAACAGCCCAAAGCCUCCCCGCUGCAAAUUCUUUUUUUUUUUUUUUUUUGCCAGCCUCACUUCCUCUUGGGGAAGGCUGAGCUCUGGUAGAAGAAGAGAAUGAGAACUGCUGUAAAUACUUCUAAGGGGCCAGGCGUGGUGACUCAUGCUUGUAAUUCCAAGCACUUUGGGAGGCUGAGGCAGGUGGAUCACCUGAAGCCAGGAGUUCAAGAGCAGCCUGGCCAACAUGGCGAAACCCUGUCUCUACUAAAAAUACAAAAUUUAGCCAGGCAUGGUGGCGGGAGCCUGUAAUCUCAGCUCCUAGGGAGGCUGAGCCAGAAGAAUCGCUUAAACCUGGAAGCUGGAGGUUGCAGUGAGCCAAGAUCACACCACCACACUCCAGCCUGGGUGACAGAGCAAGACUCCAUCUCAAAAAGAAAAAAAAGAAAAAAAGGAAAUACUUCUAAGUUAUGUGAGAGAGUACAUACUGACAUUUUCAAUGGGUACAAUAA
rnacentral:lncRNA from 1 species